CUAGAACAUCCUCUCAGAACUGCAGAGGACUGAGUGAUUUCACAGCUGCUGCUGUCUUGUGUUUUCAUUUCUCUACGGUUUUACAGGGACACUGUUCUAGUACCUAUAUAAGAAAAUGGACACGCACACGCUUGCAUCCACACACGUACCUGCUUCUCAUCAUGAAGGGCAAAGCAAAGCUGCGGAUAAAUGUGCCGCAGGUGAGAUGGGAAUGCUGGAGGGAGAGAUGUUUUCAAUUGUCCUCUCCUGACACGGCUUGAAGAUCUAAUCUCAGGAAUGACACAGGAAUCUGAGAGUCUGCUACAAUGGCAGCGGCGGUGUGUGCUUCGCAGGAGGGAUUACAAGCCAUGCUCCACUCGUCCAUCUUUGGUGAUCAGAUCAUCGGUGGCGUUGUCGGCUGGAUACCCAGAAACCAAGAAAUGACUGUUUCAAGGACGAAUGCUGUCCUCAAGACAUCCCUCCUCCAGACAUGGUCUGUUUUUGGUGGGAAAUGAUUGAACUCUUCAAGAACACUCUUCACAUCACUCAGCUGCACAUGGCCGGUCUGCUGCAGGGUGUCAAGAUGGCAAGCCAAGCCCGUAACUGACAGCCCAGGAACAGGGUUUGAGUCACUGUUUGUAACGGAGUGUGAGAGAGAAGCGAGAGGAUGAGACUCAGGGCCAAGAGGAGGACAAAAGAUUGACACUCAAGACACUCAAUUGUCCGACACUCCACAA